rnacentral:rRNA from 1 species
CCUACGGGGGGCUGCAGUGGGGAAUAUUGGACAAUGGGCGAAAGCCUGAUCCAGCCAUGCCGCGUGUGUGAAGAAGGUCUUCGGAUUGUAAAGCACUUUAAGUUGGGAGGAAGGGCAGUAAGCUAAUACCUUGCUGUUUUGACGUUACCGACAGAAUAAGCACCGGCUAACUCUGUGCCAGCAGCCGCGGUAAUACAGAGGGUGCAAGCGUUAAUCGGAAUUACUGGGCGUAAAGCGCGCGUAGGUGGUUUGUUAAGUUGGAUGUGAAAGCCCCGGGCUC